GCUUUGUAAACAACACUGUGAUAAAAUUCUCGAUAUAUCUAUACUUAGCGCAGACUCGGAGAUAAACAUAAUAAUGGCUGUUACAAUAUACUUCCCACGCAAAUCUACAUGUAUUGGAACCUAUUUGCAGACCCUUUGGCGAUUUUAUUGAUUUAAAAAGUGCAAUUAAAAAAAGACAAAAUAACUUAUUCUUAUACGGAUGCAUAAUAAAAAGCAGUAAUGCACAAGAGCUCGG
rnacentral:lncRNA from 1 species